rnacentral:lncRNA from 13 species
UCCCACAUCACAUGAAAACUCAACGGGAUGCCAGCUCCUAAAGCCACAUGGGAGGCCACUCUCCAGGGCUCCAGGGCAUGGGACACAUGGAUGAGGGUCCACAGCCACCAUGCGUGCUUGGAUCGAUUGGUCGCCCCUGACCACUCUCUCAGGAGAGGAGGAAAGAGGCCGGAGCCAAGACCAUCCUUUCCCAGCACAACGCGGCAAGCUUGGGUGAGGCAGCCGGGAUCCUCCCCCACCUUGACAGAAGCCUGGAACCUGAAGCCCAGGCAGAGCCAUGCAGACAGCCUGCCGAGAAGGCAGGUGGGGCAGAGACUGGGGAAGAAGGUGUUGGGGGUCCUGCCAGAUGCUUCGGUGAGGCUGAGUGAGGAGGCAGCUGCAGUAAGCAACAGGAGCGUCUCCCUGCAGGCACAGGCUCUCGCCAGAAUGGGGACAAGAUCAGCCUGGGGCCGUGUCCACCCUAAAGAUGAAGGAAGAGUGGAAGCCUGGAGCCAUGGGGGUUUAUGUCCACGUAACCUAACGGGAGGCUGCCAGUGGAGUCUCAGAGCCAGCCCAGGAAGAAAGGAGGACAGUCACCAGGAGCAAUGGACACGAAGCCCCCAGCCCCAGCUGUGCAUCUCAGGGGCUCCGUAAACAUUGGCCCCUCCAUCCCAAGGGAGUCAUGGCGGCAACUGGGUUGGGGGCUAGGGCCACAAUGGACAAGACAGCAUCUGUGGAUGAGGAGCUGUCCCCUGCCACCUGAUCUCCAGCAGGCACAUUCACCUGUGCUCUCCAGCAGCCAUGUGUACCCAGACAGUGGCAGGCAGUGUUUGGUAUGUAAAGUCGGUGCUGCCUCCAGGGACCUCACACACAGACACCUAUUUUCACCAGAGUGAUGCCCACAGAGAGGCCCAGGGACACCGGGACCUGGUUUGUAGAUAUUUCUCUGACCCUAGCCCCAUCAGCCCUGCAGUACUGUGGGAGGUGAGGCCCUGUAGAAGCUGUGCCUGGAGAUUCACAGGGAAAAUUGAAGAGAAGCUCAAUUUUCCUAACAUGCCCAGCCCAGGCUUCCUUCUUCUCUUGUGCCCUCACCCCGUCUGCCACAGGCUGGGGGCUCUGUCAAUGCUCACUCCCAGGCCCUGGUCAACCCCAAGGGAAUAAUCAGGGAUAACCAUCUCUGAACAAAGCUGCUUACCAUUGUUUUAUUUCCCAGGACGGAAAAGGAGAAACCACCUCUGGUGCGGAGGGCUGGGGAGAACUCACGCCAGUGACUGUGUGUUCUGGGACACACUGGACGGAAGGGUCAGCUGGUGCAUGAGGGGCGAGCUCUCUGGGCCUCCCGGGGUGGGGAG